CCUACGGGGUGCAGCAGUGAGGAAUAUUGGUCAAUGGACGAGAGUCUGAACCAGCCAAGUAGCGUGAAGGAUGACUGCCCUAUGGGUUGUAAACUUCUUUUAUAUGGGAAUAAAACGUUCCACGUGUGGGAUUUUGUAUGUACCAUAUGAAUAAGGAUCGGCUAACUCCGUGCCAGCAGCCGCGGUAAUACGGAGGAUCCGAGCGUUAUCCGGAUUUAUUGGGUUUAAAGGGAGCGUAGGUGGAUUGUUAAGUCAGUUGUGAAAGUUCGCGGCUCAACCGUAAAAUUGCAGUUGAAACUGGCAGUCUUGAGUACAGUAGAGGUGGGCGGAAUUCGUGGUGUAGCGGUGAAAUGCUUAGAUAUCACGAAGAACUCCGAUUGCGAAGGCAGUUCACUGGACUGCAACUGACACUGAGGCUCGAAAGUGUGGGUAUCAAACAGGAUUAGAUACCCUAGUAGUC
rnacentral:rRNA from 1 species